CCCACAGAUGACUGCUGCCAUCAGACUGUCCAGUAGAAAUGCUUCUUAUAGCUGUGGAGGUUACAUCAGAGAUUCCAAGUGGUUGGACUGCUAAAUCUGUGGACAACUGGUCCUCUAAAUUUAGUCAAGCAUACAUACCCUGGACUGUAUUUUCUGUGUCCCCACAAAUUGGACUGACUUCUUGGAACCACUUGAAGUACAGUGGUGUCUUCCAGUGCUGUGGGCAAUUGGAAAGCACAAAGCCAAGCAGUGAUGACCUGGGGCCUGUCCCAAACUCCCUAAGAAAUGUAGGUACCGUUUUGUCCACAUUGUUUCGUUUCUCUGACAGAUG
rnacentral:lncRNA from 1 species